UGGGCCUUUCUUCUAUAUUUCGUGAUAACCCCCUGCAAAAAUAGACAAACACCAAAACUCAUGGAAUUCUGUGAGAUGAAACCCUAAUUUUGGAUGUUGGUUGCAUAUAGGUCCUUUUCCAUGAUUAGUUGACGGUUAAAUGUGAGCAUUAAGGACCAUCAACAAGCUCCCCCAAGCUUAACCUUUGCUCGUCCCUGAGCAAGGAUGAACUCAAGAGUUUCUGCAGUGGUUUCAUGCCUUAAAGGUACACAUGCAUUCAAACAAGAUCUCAUCUCUGGGUUAGGGUAAACUAUUAAGAUUUAAACUUACUCAUUUUUCCUUCCACCAUGGGGCUUGCAACCGUCGCUUGUGUCUUGAGCAGUUAAAAGAUAGAACGGUCUAGUCAAGCGCCAUGUCUUUUGUUCUUCGAUUAACUAUAGCUCUGGAGUUUUUACAGUUUUUUAAAUAAAACUUAGAGGUUCCUUGUAUGACUCUCUCUAGUCUCUCUUUUGUGGUAUUUCUGGAUCCUUACCAAGGCAGUAAUGGUAUAUGCCUUCUCUCAAAGUAUGUCGUCUUUUUGGUAUGAGGCAUAGUGGCAUUGCCUUCUCUCUCACCCUACUCUAAUAAGGUUUUGAUAUCUAGAGCUCAUAGGUGGGAGACAACUAAUACAUACUUACAAGACAUUUAUUGCAUAGUCAAACCAUGGAUCUAGAAGAACAAGUCAAUAAGUCAAAUCAAGAUGUGCAUGUGUGGCGAAUGAAUGGUAAUAAUGGUGAAAAUAAUGGUGAAAGUCUAAUUCUACUUUUGCUCUUUUGAGGGGGUACAUACCUUCCUUGCACUUGAGGCUUUUGAGGGGAAUGAGAUGCUCUAUAUUUUAUUUUUCUUUUCUCUCAGGUGGGUAUCUUGUAGCCCUAAUUCUACUAUCGGACACUUGUCCAUUUUUACCUCUCGUCUCACUUUUUCUUUUUUUCGAGGUUUCGGGCACUUGCCUCUUUUUAUUUCCUCGUAUUCAUAUUUUUUUCAGAACACUCAUCCUCCUAGAAUAAUAUAGCGAGUGGUAGUAACCAAGAUAACUCGAGCAUUUAUUUCAUAGGGAAUAACAGGGAUAGGAAUAGUUUUUGGCUAUUCUCUCCUGGAUAGGAGUAGAAUAAUUUUGGGUGAAUCUAGAGAUGGAAAUGAGUGGAUGUAUGUGGAUGCGUACUUCCGGAGUAGAAGCAGCAUGUAUGAGUGAACGUGCAAGUGAAUCUUGAUUUUAACUACAUGACAAGCUCCUAAGGGUCUACAUAGCUUGACCACACUCAAUGCUCAUAAGCAGUAAA
rnacentral:lncRNA from 1 species